rnacentral:lncRNA from 1 species
GGGAGACCUUGCCUGGGCAGCACAGUAGAGCUGACCCUGGUGGCAAAAAUGCAGAUUGGCCAGUGCCUAGAUCAACAAAAUGAAGUGGAGUAAUUCAUUCAACAAAUAUUUAUGCAACACUUUCUCAACCCCGAAGGGACACAGAAGCAUUUGCACUGAAAGUCUGCUAGAAGAGAGUGACAUUGAACUGAGUUCUUAGUAAUAGCUCAAGGGUGAAAGAGAAAAGAGUUUCCCAAAUAAUAUAUGGAGAUACACAAAGCAGAGAAAAGAAGCAGGAGUUGUGAUAAAAGUUCAUAAAUCCCAUUGUCCUUGCUGGGAUGUAAACAUUGAGUUGUGAGAGGUAUGACCACAGAGUGGCAAGAAUCAAUUGUGAGAGACUUUGCUCCAAAUUGUAAAUCUUGGGUUUUGUCUCCCUACUUUUACAAAGAUGUUAAAAGAGUUCCAACACAGAAAUUGACUGUUUAUUUGGGUAUUUCUGAGGGAUCCUUCCUGGUAGAUGUUGAGAUGCCUUUGAUUGGCUCAAGAAUGGAGAAGGAAGAGCAAUUACAAAAUAAAUAAAAAAGAAAGGACAAAAUAAAUCAUGAGAAAAACUAAGACAAUGGCCUCAGGAACAGACUAGAAAUAAUGGUUAAUUUAUCAAAAUGAUGAUUAUGUGAUAAAUUAAGAAUGUGUGAUGAAUGAUGUAUUGGUACAUUUACUAUAUACUUCUAAGAUUCCUUCUUGCAGUUCAUUUAAUAAGGUAGAAAAUAUGGGCUGAACAUAGAAAUUUGUACAGGAACAUUUUUUUUUCCUUUUUAACACACCAACUAUCAGUUUCCUGCAUGACAAACCUUUUGUGCUAAGCAGGAGACUGAAGGCUGCUAAGUGCUUGGAGGAGCUUCUGUCUACAUAUUUGAUUGGUAGAUGCUUAUGUGAGAUGCCCCAAAAAUCAUGAAAAGCUGUAGAAGAUUCAGAAGGAGACAAAAUAGAAACAGUCAAACAGGAAGAAGACCAAGAGAGUUCUGAACUCAAACCCAAGUGGAUAGGCUCCACACUGAAAAUACAGCAGAAAGGACCAAAAGAUAAAGGCCAGAAAAGGACCUCACAAUUAGAAUCAUCAGAAAUCAUGUUAUAGUGGAUAAAAGAACAAGCAGGAAGCUAAUAUAAAAUAUUAGGAAGAGUCAAAAUUAGGUGGAUUAUUAAUAUUGUGAAGGAAAGCAAGAAGUGUAAACUUGCAGUCACAUGAUGACUUAUAACUGAUCUGAAGUCCAAUUCCAAUGGAUCUAAUGUUCCUCUUCUAGCCUCUGUGGGCUCCUGAUAUACAUUCAUUCAGGCAGGCUCACAUACAAUCACAGAAAUAAAAAGUAAAAAUAAAGACCAAUAAGGACCUACUAGAAACAGUUGCUAAAAUGGGUAAUAUUGAAAGGAAACAUGAAGGAUGUGAGCUGGGGCGUGUAGGGUGGGUAAGGUCUAGGCUUUUAUUAUUCUUGAGUCCAGGGGACACUGCUACAGAAGACCAGGUUAUGCCCACCUUGAGCAAAAGGCUCGUCACUGUCCUGUAUGAGAAGAAUAGUUCAUGACCUGUUUGAAGGACAGCACACUACCAAUCCUCACACGAUUCUGAACAAAGGGUUCUCAAAAAGUUGGGCAUAAGUCACAACACUAUUUUUCCUCAUUUAUAUUUUCUAAUGAUUGGUGAAAGUAAAUAGUGGCGCAUCAAAAUCGGAUCCAUACGCAAAAGCUGCUUUCUUAGAAAAGAGACAGUUUCACAAAGACACUGAUGAAGUUCAGAUGAUUCAAUCACCGAUCUCAACUUUGAAGUGGCAUGCUUCCUCCCCCUGCCUCACUUUGACCAGAAUAUAUCACUGCUGCAAAGCAAUUUGCACUUUGCAGCUUUAAAGAGAGCAGAAAGGACUGGACUUGCCAGAAGGCACUUGAGCAAUUGUCACAGGCAGAUUGUUUAUUCAACCAAGAGGUUUAUUAUUAUUUUCAUAGCAUUCUGCAAAGAUCAAGGGAAGGCGCUAACAGGCUUUGGUAUAUUUUUAAGAUGGAGUUUAAAGAAUGAUAAAGCAAUACAUCAUCAAACUGUUUGACACGUUACAUGUGUGGGCUGCCCACAUAACUCCAAGUAAAGAACGUACUUCAUUGAAAACAAUAAUUAGACGAAUUUCUUUUUUUUUUUCUGUAUCCCUCUCCCCCCCCCCCCAAAAAAAAAACAACUCUGUGAGCCAUUGCUGGACUGUAGUUCAAUAAUAGUGUUCAAACUAAGAAGCAAUCUUGGCACUAAACUUCAGGAUCCCUUUGUAAAUUUCAGAUGACAUUGAUAAGGGGAACAUUAAGUUCAUUGUUGAAAGCAAACGGUUCAAAACUUCUGAAGGAGGCCACUGAAGAAGAUGUUUUCCCUGUAAUUCUACAACAUUGAGAACAAACCAAGUUCACGG